AUCAGGUUAAGCUGGGGACUCUAAGGAACUGCCUACGCAAGUAGUGAGGAAGGCGGGGAUGGACGUCAAAUCAAGCACGGCCCUUACGUCCAGGGCUACGACACGUGCUACAAUGGCCGAUACAGAGGGCAGCUACCUGGUGACAGGAUGCAAAUCUCCAAAGUCGGUCUCAGUUCGGAUCGGAGUCUGCAACCCGACUCCGUGAAGUUGGAUUCGCUAGUAAUCGCGCAUCAGCCAUGGCGCGGUGAAUACGUUCCCGGGCCUU
rnacentral:rRNA from 1 species